rnacentral:rRNA from 1 species
UACGAGAGGUGCAAGUUUAUAGCGUGAGGAGUAGGCAAGCAAGUGAAGACGUAAUAUAGUUAUGUAAGAUAUUAUUUAAGUUUAGUUUUAUUCCUAGUACAGCAGUUAAGUGCGUCAAGUUUAGGAGGACAGCCAUUGGCGAAAGCAACUUUACACACAUUCAACUUAAGUUUAAACUUGUAAGUCCAGGGAUCAAAGUAGGAUUAAGAAACCCCUGAUGAUU